CCCACGGCAAAGACUGGCGUGGGGUUUCGCGUAUCGUCGACCCCGGGGGACUGCUCCGAGAAGGAGAGCAGAGCCGAGAUGGCGCGGCGGCCAGUGGAGGGAGGAGGAGGACGGCACCGGAAGUGGCGUUGGUGGCAACCGGCGAGCUUGAUGCCCAGGCGGUCGCGCCGCUGGGCGUUCGUCGGCCUCCUCCUCCGCCACGGAGGCUGCCCGUGCCUCCUUCGUGUCCGUCGACGUCUAAUAGCUCAUCAAGAUUGGGACUUCUGAUGGUUUUUUCCUCUCCUGUUUCUGGAUUUAGGGGCCUUAACUUUUCAUGACUAAGCAACUUUUUCUUGAUUCCAUCUGCGCAAUUUCGGAAUACCUCUUUGUCUGGUCCUCAAUCAUGCAGUUGAAAAUUUUGAAUUGAUAUGUACGUGGAAAGUGCUGGGUCGGUUGAAUUAUGGUAUAUAAGUAUAUGCCACAAUGUUGUCUUUGUCAAAGAUAUAGCUUAAUAUGGAGUCAUGCAUUGCGUUCACAUGCUAUCUGAGAGGUUUUUUGUCUCAUCAUACAUCCAGCUAUUAGUUCUUUAUAUUGGAUUGUUGCUUCAACUUGAAGCAUCAGAUGCUUGCUUCUCAAACUAACAUCGUCGGGACUUGGGAUAAGCUUCUAAAAGAAUCUGCUAUGAUGAUGCCUAAGUACUCCACAGCUAUCCAUGGUCAUCUCGUUUGGUAUUGCAGAAAGGCCAUUGAAAGGGACUGCAACGGCACUUAAAAGAGAUUAAGGAGUUUUAGUUCUCACACUAAGUAUGAACACGUGUUGGUGUUGGGAGGUACUGAAUGAGACUUGAGCGCGACAGAUACAGAAUUGAGUGGUAUUAUAUGAGCUGGCCAUCAGGACCUUCGGUGGCAUUGAUGUCCUUUGGGAACUUGACUUGAACCAGCUGGACUUCCUUGGGGUUGGCUAUUGGGUUGCCAUGCAAGUAUUUACCUUCACUUCCUCUGUCGGUCAAUUUUGGAAGAGCUUAUGGUAGCAUUCUUGCGGACCAGUGCAUUUUUAGAAGAAGCUGGUGAGGUAAAUUCAGUAAAGUUUUACUUUCAAAUUACGGGAUGCUUUAAUGAGGUUGCCUUGGUUGAGAUGUUGAUUAUUAUCAAAUUUGUCAAAUUUCUUGUAUGAUCUAGACAAUCGGUAUGUAGAUUAACUUCCUCUGCAGCAUGUGUGAGACAAAGUAAUUAUGAGUCAGAGUUGGGCCUAACCCGUAGUCUUGGAGAAUGCAGUGAGUGGGAUCCAAGUCCAUUUUGACUUGAUCACCUAACAUAUCCAUCUUCUCUAUGCAAACCUGAGUCAAUCUGGUAAUCAGCUUAUUCUAGACCGAAAGACCAAAUGGAUAGGAUUGAAAAUUGAAAUAUUCUGGACUCAGCUCCAACUUGAGCAACUUGCAUCGGUAUAUACUAUACCAUUCAAUGGAUGUUAAAAUAACAAAGAAGUGCCUACAAAGAUGGAUGAAUACUGUUGAGGAAUUGAACUCCUGUUUUAUGAUCCAGUUACGAACUUAGAAUAGAUAUUUGAAGCAGUGAUUGGAGUAGCGAUGGACUUUCCAAAUGAGUGGUUGGUUAUUAUUAGGGAUAGAUUGCUGACUGACAAUUAUUGGUAGGUGUUAUGGGAUUGUCAACUUUAGGCAAUUUCUCACUUUUUAUGCAAUCAUGGCUUUAUUAAUUUAUUCUCCUUGGUCGUAAUCCAUGUACAAAAUGUGUUAUUACAUUGCAGUGUGUAAGACCUAAUAUUCAAAUAGAUUAUGAACACUAUCUAUUGAAACCUGGUUUUUCUUUCAGCAUAUUUCUAUUCUAAACUCAUGGCAGGUACCACUCUUGUACCAUUUUAUCUGUACUGUUUGGUGAUAAUCCUAAUUGACAGGUAAUGUUUUCUUCACUGCCAUGUUGAAACAUCUCAUGCACAAGUUACCUUUAACCUUCUGCUUGGAUAACUCCAGAAAAUUUUAAAUUGAUACGGACAACUGAGAAUGGCCAUCUAUUCCACGUGCCAGGAUGGUUUUCUAUUAUUGAUGUCUUUUCUUGAAUGUGCUACCUCCUGGCCGUGCUUCAUUUGUUUAAGAUCUAUCUUUUAUUGCAAUUAAAGCGGUGGAAUUCAGUUAGACAUACUUUUCUAACAGUUGCUUUCUUGGCAUUGAAACUUUCUUGGAUUUUGUCCUAUCUGUUUGACAUACUCAGUGCAUCCUUAAUUAAAUUGAAAUCUUGUCUCAUGUCAUAUUAUUGACUUGUUCUUAGAUUUGGGAUUUGCCCAUGAUAUCAGAUUUGUUUGUGCCUGUCUGUAUCAUAAGAAGGAUAAAAUGCCUUUCCAACCAUUCUUCAGGCAUGUAAAUUUGGACUAUUGAAAGGUGUGCAAGCUUCUACUAUAAUUCCUCCAUGCAGGCACAGGAAAUAUCUGAACUCAACCAGUUCCUUCUAUUUUAUAGUGUGAGAAGUAAAAUCAUAUGCCUUUUCAGGUGGUGUAUGGUUAUACUCAGGCAUGCAAACAGUUUUAAUGGAUAUAUAUCUGUUCCCUAUAUACCACUAAACAUGAUUUCAAGCUCUGGAAUUAUUGGAAAAAUUCACUGCUGGCUCUUUAAUUUUUUGAGCUUUAUUGUAAAUGGAUAUGCACAUGAUUAUGGAGCCCUGCAGCUUCCUCA